AUUGAACGCUAGCGGGAUGCUUUACACAUGCAAGUCGAACGAGUGGCGGAGGGGUGAGUAAUAUAUCGGAACGUGCCCAGUAGCGGGGGCUAACUACUCGAAAGAGUGGCUAAUACCGCAUACUCUUGGAGCGGCCGAUAUCGGAUUAGCUAGUUGGUGGGGGAAAGGCUCACUAAGGCGCCGAUCCCUAGCUGGAUUGAGAGGACGACCGGCCAAACUGGGACUGAGACACGGCCCAGACUCCUACGGGAGGCAGCAGUGGGGAAGUUUGGACAAUGGAGGAAACCCUGAUCCAGCCACCCCGCGUGAGUGAGAAGGCCUUCUGGUUGAAAAGAGCGUUUGGUAGAGAAGCGGUAUCUACAGAAUAAGCACCGGCUAACUACGUGCCAGCAGCCGCGGUAAUAC
rnacentral:rRNA from 1 species